rnacentral:lncRNA from 1 species
UAGUGUGUGUACAGUGUGUGUGUGUGCAGUGUGUGAGUGUGUGUGAGAGAGAGAGAGUGUGAGAGCAGUGUGUGUGUGUGUGUGUGUAUGUGUGUGUGUGAGUGUGAAAGAGAAAAAGAAAGAUAGACUGUGUGUGUGUGUGUGUGUGAGUGCAGUGUGUGUGUGAGAGACAGAGAGCGAGAGAGAGAGCGUGUGUGGGUGUGUGUGUGUGUGUGUGUGUGUGUGUGUGAGUGCAGUGUGGGUGUGAGUGUGAGUGUGAGUGUGAGUGUUCCAUGUGCUGUACUUAUUCCUGAGUACAGAGAGUCUGAGCCAGGAGAUGAGACGCUGUAAAUCUCUCUGCUCACCUGCCGGCACUGCAGUUCCCCCACAACACUAGAACACCACAACACCACAACACCACACCACCACACCACCACAACACCACACCACCACACCACCACAACACCACAACACCACAACACCACACCACCACAACACCACAACACCACACCACCACCACACCACCACAACACCACACCACAACACCACAACACCAGAACACCACAACACCACACCACAACACAACACCACCACAACACCACACCAACACCACAACACCACAACACCACACCACACCACCACAACACUAGAACACAACACCGCAACACCGCAACACCGCACCACCGCACCACCACACCACCACACCACCACACCAACACAACACCACACCACAACACCACAACACCACAACACCAGAACCCCACAACACCACAACACCACACCACCACUAGAACACCACAACACCACACCACCACACCACCACAACACCACACCACCACAACACCCCAACGCCACACCACAACACCACACCACCACACCACACCACCACAACACCACAACACCACACCACCACACCACCACACCACUAGAACACCACACCACCACAACACCACACCACCAGAACACCACAACACAAGAACACCACACCACCACACCACCACAACACCACAACACUAGAACACCACAACACACCACCACAACACCACACCACCACCACACCACAAGAACACCACAACACCACACCACCACACCACCACAACACCACACCACCACAACACCACAACACCACCACAACACCACAACACCACACCACCACAACACCACAACACCACUAGAACACCACAACACCACAACACUAGAACACAUCUCUCCCUCCCUCUCUCUCUCGGUCUCUCCCUCUUUCUAUAUCUGUGUCUCCGUCUCUCCCUCCUUCUCUCUCUCUGUCUCUCCCUCUUUCUAUAUCUGUGUCUCCGUCUCUCCCUCCUUCUCUCUCUCUCUGUUCCUCUCUCUAUGUCUCUCUCUCCUUCCUACUUUCUCUAUCUGUGUCUGUCUCUCCCUCCUUCUCUCUCUCUCUCUUCCUCUCUCUAUGUCUCUCUCUCCUUCCUUCUCUCUCUGUGUCUCCCUCCUUCUCUUUCUCUGUGUCUUGCUCUCUCUGUCUCUCUCUCCCUACCUUUCUAACUCUCUCCUUUUACUUUGUCAUAUAAAAUGUAAGGGUUUUAUUGCGGUCUCACUUAGAACUGGAGUUUAAUUUUACUGUGACAGUAUUUAGAGCAAGAACCACUUUUUGGUGUGUG